UCAUGGAUUCAACCAACUAUGCAUUGAAAAUAUUUGGGUUUUGUUUUGCAUGGAUUAUUGAAUGAUGACUACACACAUAUGUAUUUAUUCUCAUCACCAAGCACACCCUACAGGCACAGACAUUAAUUUUUAUGGACAUUGUUUCCUGUCAGAAAUUUAAUGCCUGAAAAGUUGAAGAUCUAUGUGAACUUUACUAUAAUCCAAGAGCACAUAACAGACUGUGGAUUUGGCAUAUCUCAAACAGUACCACUGCUUUGUGGCUUCAUCUUUAUUUGUUUCCAAAUAGAAGUCUGAGGCAAGGGGAAAGGAAGGAGGUGUCAGUAACAUCUGCUGGUUGGACCAGUUUUGUGGGCCCAAGGCAUGGAUCUGGGGACUGGACUCC